CAGUCGCCACGGUAAUACGUAGGUCCCGAGCGUUGUCCGGAUUUAUUGGGCGUAAAGCGAGCGCAGGCGGUUAGAUAAGUCUGAAGUUAAAGGCUGUGGCUUAACCAUAGUACGCUUUGGAAACUGUUUAACUUGAGUGCAAGAGGGGAGAGUGGAAUUCCAUGUGUAGCGGUGAAAUGCGUAGAUAUAUGGAGGAACACCGGUGGCGAAAGCGGCUCUCUGGCUUGUAACUGACGCUGAGGCUCGAAAGCGUGGGGAGCAAACAGGAUUAGAGACCCCAGUAGUCCCUGUCUCUUAUACA
rnacentral:rRNA from 1 species